UAUGUGCGGACGGGAUAACCGCUGAAAGCAUCUAAGCGGGAAGCCCCCCCCAAGACUAGAUCUCCCUGGGAGCUCGACUCCCCUGAAGGGCCCACGAAGACUACGUGGUUGAUAGGCUGGGUGUGUAAGGCCGGUAACGGCUUCAGCUAACCAGUACUAAUUGCCCGUGAGGCUUGACCAUAUAACCUCAAGCAGUUU
rnacentral:rRNA from 1 species